AUUGAACGCUGGCGGCAUGCCUUACACAUGCAAGUCGAACGGCAGCGCGGGAGCAAUCCUGGCGGCGAGUGGCGAACGGGUGAGUAAUACAUCGGAACGUGCCCGAUCGUGGGGGAUAACGGAGCGAAAGCUUUGCUAAUACCGCAUACGAUCUACGGAUGAAAGCAGGGGACCGCAAGGCCUUGCGCGGACGGAGCGGCCGAUGGCAGAUUGGGGAGUUGGUGGGAUAAAAGCUUACCAAGCCGACGAUCUGUAGCUGGUCUGAGAGGACGACCAGCCACACUGGAACUGAGACACGGUCCAUACUCCUACGAGAGGCAGCAGUGGGGAAUAUUGGACAAUGGGCGCAAGCCUGAUCCAGCCAUGCCGCGUGUGUGAAGAAGGCCUUCGGGUUGUAAAGCACUUUCAGUAGGGAGGAAGAGUUGAGUGUUAAUAGUACUCAGCUUUGACGUUACCUACAGAAGAAGCACCGGCUAACUCUGUGCCAGCAGCCGCCGUAAUAC
rnacentral:rRNA from 1 species